GGAGACUUGGGACUGGCACAUGGCGUAGUGGACUGUGGUAUCUGGAUCGUGAAGGGCUGGAUUCAGCAUUGGUGUCAGUCAUAGAGGAAGCAGGAGUAGGAUCUAAAAUGAGUGCUGAAAAUGAGUUAAUGCUCCAUCACCAGCGUUUGGGACACUCAUCCUUUAGUGUUUUAGGUAGAUUGUAUCCUUCUUUAUUUGAGAAAGCAAA